rnacentral:rRNA from 1 species
GACGAACGCUGGCGGCGUGCUUAACACAUGCAAGUCGAACGGAAAGGCCCUGCUUUUGUGGGGUGCUCGAGUGGCGAACGGGUGAGUAACACGUGAGUAACCUGCCCUUGACUUUGGGAUAACUUCAGGAAACUGGGGCUAAUACCGGAUAGGAGCUCCUGCUGCAUGGUGGGGGUUGGAAAGUUUCGGCGGUUGGGGAUGGACUCACGGCUUAUCAGCUUGUUGGUGGGGUAGUGGCUUACCAAGGCUUUGACGGGUAGCCGGCCUGAGAGGGUGACCGGCCACAUUGGGACUGAGAUACGGCCCAGACUCCUACGGGAGGCAGCAGUGGGGAAUAUUGCACAAUGGGCGGAAGCCUGAUGCAGCAACGCCGCGUGCGGGAUGACGGCCUUCGGGUUGUAAACCGCUUUCGCCUGUGACGAAGCGUGAGUGACGGUAAUGGGUAAAGAGGCACCGGCUAACUACGUG